UACGUAGGGUGCGAGCGUUAAUCGGAAUUACUGGGCGUAAAGCGUGCGCAGGCGGUUUGUUAAGACCGAUGUGAAAUCCCCGGGCUCAACCUGGGAACUGCAUUGGUGACUGGCAGGCUUUGAGUAUGGCAGAGGGGGGUAGAAUUCCACGUGUAGCAGUGAAAUGCGUAGAGAUGUGGAGGAAUACCGAUGGCGAAGGCAGCCCCCUGGGCCAAUACUGACGCUCAUGCACGAAAGCGUGGGGAGCAAACAGGAUUAGAUACCCUGGUAGUCCACGCCCUAAACGAUGUCAACUAGUUGUUGGGGAUUCAUUUCCUUAGUAACGUAGCUAACGCGUGAAGUUGACCGCCUGGGGAGUACGGUCGCAAGAUUAAAACUCAAAG
rnacentral:rRNA from 1 species